rnacentral:lncRNA from 1 species
UUUGGAUCAUCAUCGAUUUAUUCAAACAACUAUUUGAUGAUACUCUUCAAAUUUUUCAUUGGCUUUUCUUAUAGGAUUGAAGCUGAAGUCACUAUAUAUUUAGAUUAACCAAAUCUUUUUCCAUUAUUUUAUUUCAUAAUAUUGUGGAUAUUACAUUGUAUAUGUGCUAAAACUUUCCGGUAAAAAAAAAAAGUGCUAAAACUACAACCGUUUUUAUGUUCU